CCUACGGGAGGCAGCAGUGGGGAAUAUUGGGCAAUGGAGGAAACUCUGAACCAGCAACGCCGCGUGAAUGAUGACGGCCCUCGGAUUGGAAAGCUCUUUUCUUAGGGAAGAAGAAAGUGACGGUACCUUAGGAAUAAGCCUCGGCUAACUACGUGCCAGGAGCCGCGGCAAUACGUAGGAGGCAAGCGUUAUCCGGAAUGACUGGGUGUAAAGGGUUAGUAGGUGGGUUGACAAGUUGGUAGCGUAACUCCGGGGCUCAACCUCGGCACUACUACCAAAACUGUUGGACGUGAGUGCAGGAGGGGCAAAUGGAAUUCGUGGUGUAGCGGUGGAAUGCGUAGAUAUUAGGAAGAACACCAGUGGCGAAGGCGGUUUGCUGGACUGUAACUGACACUGAGGCACGAAAGCGUGGGGAGCAAACAGGAUUAGAUACCCCUGUAGUC
rnacentral:rRNA from 1 species